AUUUAGGUAGCAUAGUGGCUAGAGUGCUGGACCUAGAGUCCAGAGGACCUGGAUUCAAAUCUAGCCUCAAAUA
rnacentral:tRNA from 1 species